rnacentral:sRNA from 1 species
GCUCGGUGUGGUGGUGCACACCUGUAAUCCUAGCAGCUCGGGAGGCUGAGGCAGGAGGAUCAUGGGUUCAAAGCCAGCCUCAGCAAAAGCAAGACUGCUAAGCGGCUCAGUGAGACCCUGUCUCUA